GUAUUGCUACGUAAUUACAUUAAAACAUCCUUUUAUUACAUCAUGACAUUUGUUGAUUCUGUGUCACUGCUGCUCUGAAUUAUCAUGCAGAGAUGUUGCACUGUGAUAGAUAAACUGCUAAGUAAUGCCAGGCCAUCAUUAUUACUACCUCAUCAUUUCACUAAAUUUAUUUCAUUUGAUAGUGCCUCUAUUUCUUCUUACCAGAUAAUAGGGAGGAUUUCUUUGUCCCUCUCCUGAUGCGGGAGAGAGUGUCUUCAGAAGAUUUGCUCUAUUUCCUGAUCAUUCUCCCAAAGAAUUGCAAUUUAUCACAAAGGCAUAAAUUUGCAAGCACCACAGGGGGCAUGAUGCUUACUGUUUUCCCUCUUCCUGAAUUCCGGCACAAAAGGAGAUGCAAGCAGAUCCAAAUACAGAUGGUUUGGAACAAAGUGAUGACCUGUAGACAGUGGCAAAUGAUGCAUGAAGAAGCAACUAAUUGGAGUACAAAUACUUACAUUAAGAAGACAUCACAAUGAGACUGCACAAGAGGAACACCAGUAUCCUGAUCAAGAGAUAUAGUGGGAGACAAUAAGCAGGAAUAUGUCAAUAGAGGGCAGAAUUAGAGGAUCACUGCAAGAGAGAAUGCAAAGAGUUUUUUCACUCUCAGUAUUUACAAAAACUCACCCCAAAAAACAUCUCUCUCCAAAUUGUGAUAUCACCAAUGUAGUAGAUGGCAAAAUAUUGAUGAGACAUGAAGGCAUCAAAAUUCCAGAUCAUCUAAAUAAAUUCUUUCAGAACCUGAAUAUCAGUCAA